AUAGGAAAGCUCAGUCGGGAAGAUGGCGCCGCCCUCAGGCCGGCGGUCACUGCGAGGCUUGUUGUUGCUGCUGUCGCUUCUGCCGUGGAGCUGUGACUGCGGAGUGGGGGGCGGGAAGGCUUAAGUCCGGCAGGGGAGAUAGACGCCGAACCCCGGCGAGGGGCAGAAAUCGAGGCCGGGGCUUCGGCGCGACCUCCGUCCAUGGAGGCCGCCGGCGGAGAAGGGGAGCCGGAGGCGCUCAGCUGCUUCUCCUACAACCAGGACUGCACUUCCCUGGCUAUUGGAACCAGAACUGGGUACAGGCUUUUUUCCUUGAGUUCUGUGGAGCAGCUGGAUCAGGUCCAUGAAAGCAAUGAAAUCCCGGAUGUUUACAUCGUAGAGCGCCUCUUCUCUAGCAGCCUGGUGGUGGUGGUGAGUCGCACAAAGCCUCGGCAGAUGAACGUCUACCAUUUCAAGAAAGGGACCGAAAUCUGUAACUACAGUUACUCUAGCAAUAUCCUCUCUGUCCGGCUCAAUCGGCAGAGACUAAUUGUUUGCUUGGAGGAAUCUAUUUAUAUCCAUAACAUUAAGGACAUGAAGCUUCUGAAAACGAUCUUGGACACCCCUCCAAACACAACAGGUUUGUGUGCACUUUCUAUUAACCAUUCCAAUUCCUACUUGGCAUACCCCGGCAGCACGACCGUCGGCGAGAUUGUGCUGUACGACGGAAAUAAUUUGAGGGACGUCUGUUCAAUUUCUGCCCACGAUGGGCCCCUCGCUGCCCUGGCCUUCAACUCCACAGGGUCAAAACUAGCAAGUGCUUCUGAAAAGGGGACCGUCAUUCGGGUGUUUUCCAUCCCUGAGGGGCAAAAGGUCUAUGAAUUCAGAAGAGGAAUGAAGAGGUACGUGAACAUCAGCUCCCUGGUGUUCAGUAUGGACUCGCAAUUCUUGUGUGCGUCAAGCAACACCGAGACCGUUCACAUCUUUAAGCUGGAACAUCUCACAGACAGCCGGCCGGAAGAACCCCCGUCCUGGAGCGGCUACAUGGGCAAGAUGUUCAUGGCCGCCACCAACUACCUCCCUUCUCAAGUGUCAGGCAUGAUGAGCCAGGACCGGGCCUUUGCCACCGUGCGCUUGAACUUCUCUGGACAAAGGAACAUCUGUGUGCUCUCCACAAUCCAGAAGUUGCCUCGGCUCUUGGUUACGACGUCUGACGGACACCUUUACCUCUACAACCUGGACCCUCAAGAUGGAGGAGAGUGUGUUCUAAUCAAGAAACACAGCUUGCUUGACCUGGGAAAGGCAGAAGAGAACAAAGAAAACGAUCUCCGCCCCCCAGUACCUCAGACUUAUGCUGCAACGGUAGCCCGGCAGAGUUCGGUGCCUUCACCUUCGAUGGUGCCAGGUUACUCAGAAGAUGGAGGAGCCCUUCGAGGAGAGGUUAUACCGGAGCACGAAUUCGCCACUGGGCCAGUGUGUCUGGAUGAUGAAAAUGAGUUUCCACCUGUGAGCAUUAGGAGUACUUAAGAGAGCACUAUGGGCCUCAUGCUGUGAAGAAAGCGUUUAACCUCUUCUUCCAGAAGGGCUGUCCCUUCCUCUCCUUUCUGUAGCCCGCGGCAACUAAAUCAGUUAUGCUCUUACAAAUGGGUAGAUAAACUCCCACUGUUCUGGGAGAGGGGCUUGGGAACAAAAUCUUAUUUAUAAUCCUGAUAUCCUACUGUUGCAUUGGUGUCCCAGGCCCAGGGAACUGACUGAGCAGGUCCAUUCCUGCGGAGGUUCAGCAGUGCUACAGCUGCAGAUGCUUCCAGACCAUUUAAUUGAUUCCCACCCAAACCCUCUUAUCUUCCCAAGAGGAGGGCACGCUCAGAGUUCAAGUCUGCAUUUCUGCAUUCACAGCUUCAGCAACACCUCCGAGAUGGAAGAGGUGGGAGGAAUCCUUCAAAUGUCAGAAAGAGGCAUGUUUAAGGGCAUCUGUUUGGUCCUUUGAAUGUGUGUUUGGAUUAAGUGACCAAAACGAAAAUGAUAAAACUGACUCGUGGCUUUGGCUUUUGUGGGUUCUGGGCAACUGCAGCCCAUGCCCCCAUUCCUUCCCAACCCAGUCCUAUUGCUGGUAGCUUUGCCAUACCAGCAAGAUGCUCAGCCCCCCAGCUUUGCUAUUUGCAUGUUGGGCUGGGUGGAGGAAAAGACCUGCAGGACAGGCAGCAGUAUAAAAUGGUAGCGCAGGUAGAAGCAUUACUUAAGGGGAAAUGGGCAGGUGCAGUGAGCAAGUGCUGACCAGGCAGCAGUCGUGCUAGUGAUGGAGCUGCUCUUCCAUUGCUGGGCUCUCGAGGUAGGACCAGCCUGUGGCGGGAGAGAAAAAAGAGAAAGCGAUCAGCAGCCCAAGCCUACUUACUGCUGCAUAUACAGACCAAACCUGUCUUUAGCAAGGAAGGUUGGAAACUGGAAAACUUAAGGACAUUUAUUUGUGUUCCCGCUAUCUUUCUCCCCUCUCUGUAAUAGAAGUCUGCUACCUCCCAGCGUCUCUUUAAUCAAUGCUAUUUAUUUUCUAAGAAGUAACAAGUGAUGUAUUAUGUUCCUUCUAAAGGGUCCCAUCCCUCUUGCAUGGUCUUGUAUUGAGUCAUGGGGAAGUGACUUCCAUGCUGUGUCUUAACAGCAUCAAGUGAUCCAAGCAUUAUUGCAGAGCUAAGCACCUACCUGCCCAACCGCUUGUCUGCCUUGCUCCUGUUGCCGCUUCUCACGCCUUCUGCUUCCCCUUGCCUGCCGCUGCCAAAACUCUUGCCCCGGGCUGUUAAAGAUAAACUUGUGCCGUGGAAGCCAGACGAACAAGAGGUCAUGAGGAGUGGCAAACAGCAGAGCACGGAGCGACGGAUGGGAGGUAGUUUGGAGAAACAAAAAAUGGGAAAGUGGAAGAUCCCACAAGUGAGGGGGGAAGCCAGAGGCGCUCCAGUGCUUUUAACACAGUAUGUUUCUUCUUAGCCCAACCCUUUCUGGCCCUUUGUGUGUAUUCUCUUAAAAGUGCUGCGUGGGUUUGGUAUCAAUGUACUGUAUAUGCACAUUGCUCUAUACUCGAGUGUAAAUGUAACCCCCCCACAAAAGAACCUGAAUUUUAUACACAUGCCUGCCCUUUUCUAAUUUAUGUCGUGUAUAAAUGUACUUAACAGAAGUCUAUUGAUCUAUGUCCUUUGUACAGUAUAUAUACAUAAUAUUUUACCCAGGCAUAAUAUUUUUGCAGUGACCUAUUAGGGAGACAGGAAAAAAAAAGAGAACUCCAACUUACUGUGUUGGCACUCUGUUUAAAUACCUGUUAAUAAAGUCACCAUCGUGUCAGCAGCAGCA